CCUACGGGAGGCAGCAGUGGGGAAUAUUGGACAAUGGGCGAAAGCCUGAUCCAGCCAUGCCGCGUGUGUGAAGAAGGCCUUCGGGUUGUAAAGCACUUUCAGUGGGGAAGAAAGCCUUGGGGCUAAUACCCUCGAGGAAGGACAUCACCCACAGAAGAAGCACCGGCUAACUCCGUGCCAGCAGCCGCGGUAAUACGGAGGGUGCGAGCGUUAAUCGGAAUUACUGGGCGUAAAGCGCGCGUAGGCGGUCUGAUAAGCCGGAUGUGAAAGCCCCGGGCUCAACCUGGGAACGGCAUCCGGAACUGUCAGGCUAGAGUGCAGGAGAGGGAGGUAGAAUUCCCGGUGUAGCGGUGAAAUGCGUAGAGAUCGGGAGGAAUACCAGUGGCGAAGGCGGCCUUCUGGACUGACACUGACGCUGAGGUGCGAAAGCGUGGGUAGCAAACAGGAUUAGAUACCCUUGUAGUC
rnacentral:rRNA from 1 species